UUCGUCACGAACUGACCGUGAGCUUGACCCACCACCAUGGCCGCACCCACCCGCCGACCACGCUACCCCACCAUGGGAGAGGGUCCGCUUGUUAGAAGGCUUCGGGUUCGCGUCCCCCACAUACCAGAGAGAGAGGAGCAAGCUCGUCCUCUAAGGCAAAGGUUCCUUCAAAGGAUUGUAGGAUUGGUGAGGACGAGGUGGUCAUUGAGUUUUUUGGGCAACUUUGGGCCAUCAACUCGCCUCCAUGCCUGAGGGAUCCUAGGGUUCCAUCCAGCGCCGCCACCACCAAAUCCGACCGAUUAUUCUAGGUAAGGCGAGAGCUGGUUGAGCGGAAGGAUUUAUCGGUGGCUGAUUGCUUCCCUGUGCUUCGAUCUGAUCGAAUCCACAAGCCACCAGUGCAAAUCAGCUUCGCGGGAGACAUCUGGAAGAAGGGGGAAGACAAGGGAACCUAUGCUGAAGUGUUGAAGAAACCUAUGGAGGAAGGUGGGAGAUGGGUUUGGUAGCCUAAGUGCCGCCCUCUGCCUCCAUGGCCGCAAAGGAACGUACAAUAGAAUCCAGUGAGGUUUCCUCAACAACCGAAGCAAUAGCCAGGUUGGCAGGACCGGGGGCCAUGAUCGCAGGGGAAUAUCCAAGGUGCGCCAUGCCCCCUCCACCCCUCCCUCGGCAGCAGUUGCUGCAAUGACAAUAGGGGCCAUCUAGGCCACCGCUACCGGUGGGGCAACCUCCCCCGCCCCUAGGAGAGGUGGUCAGCAAGGGCUACGCCAAGGUACUGAUACCUCUGACCCACCCCACAUGUUCGUCAUCGAUCCUCGGUACAACAAGUUAACAUGCUAUAACUGUGGAGAUCCGGGGCAUUUUGUGGGUAAUUGCACCAAACCCAAAAUCUGCUUCAUAUGUGAUAUUCCCGGUCAUCAUAUGGAUGCUUGUCCAGCCUGGAAGAGUGAUCACCCUGUUGCGGCAUAUGUGGGCAGUGCUAGCUUGGGACUAGGCUUCUAUCACCUGGAAAUACUAUAUGUUGAAUCAACUCAGUGGCUUAAUCUCACAAAUUGUGGUGUUGUUAGAGUCAAGUAUGGUAAUAUUACACUAGCUAAAUUGGAGGGUGAGCUGUCUGAAAUUUUCUCUAAGGAAUGGCCAUGGCAGAUUAGAGAACUGAAGACUGGCAAUUUCCUAGUCUGUUUUCCACCUAACAAAAAAGUAUCUAACAUCAAGAAUUACCUUCAUUCAGCCUGAGAAAGGAUGGGGUACAAGUGGAGGUUCUAGAGUGGCUUGGGGAUCUUAAACCCUAUGGGGAACUACAAGAGGUGUGGGUUCAGAUCAAUGGUAUUCCUCCAAGAUGGUGUCAUUGGAGAGUGUUUGCUCAGGUUGUCUCUGGUUUUGGUCUUAUGACACAAGUUGACUGGUCAGCUCUCUUCAAGUCCUUCUAUGAAACAGUCAGAGUCAAGGUGGCAUGCAAGGACUACACUAAAAUUCCAAACCAAAGGCUAUUUGAGAUGAACAAGAAACUGCAUGUGAUUAUCAUCACCGUGGAAGCAGAACAAGAGAAGACACAGAUUGCUCCAGGGGAUGAUGGAGGAGGUGGAGGGGAUGAUGACUUGGGUGAGGAUGGGGAGGAUGAAGACUUACUAGAUGAUGAUCCACUAGCUAAAGAACAACCCCACCACUCUCAAGUUUCCUCUGAUGAUAACACUAAGACCCCCCAUCAAGUAAAUCCAACAGCAACUCGGGGUAUAAAAAGGUUGAUAUGGAAGUCAAGAAUUUGGAGGAUAUAGAUCAAGGCAGCUGUCUGAAGGAAUGUAUGGAAGGAAAUUACAUGAUGGUGAACUCAAGUAGCGGCAAACUAAUGGGAGAUAUGAAAGCGCUCGAUGAUGACAAUUCUGAUUUGGCUAUUAAGAGUCUAGCGAAUCAGAGGACUUUACCACAUCGGGAGUUACGUACAGGUGUUGACUCUAGAUGGGAGGAGUUUAGAAAGUUUGUUAGUAGGGAUGCAGACACCGAGGAGUGCUCUAAUUUGUUGAAAAGGAUGGAGCUAGAGGCUUUAGAUGAUGAGGAUAAAACACUCAAUGAUGAAGAUAUGAUCUCUCUUGAAGAAUCAGGACUUCUAAGAAACAUUGAUUUGGAGGGCAAUAGAGAUCAGGAUGAGGUUGGCAAGAAAGCUCAAAAGAGAAAGACUGGAUGGGGUCCUAUUUUGAGAAUUCCGAGACCAAGAAGGGUUCCUGAUGAUGGGAGAACUGUCUUGCAAAGGGCACAAGAACUGAAGAAAGUGAAAAAUCUUGAGAAAGAAUUGUGUUUUUAGGGGCGCAAGUGGAGGGGCCUAAAGGUAUCCUCAAGAUUGCAAGGAUGUUACAGAGGUGGAUCUCGCUGAUGCAGCAGGAGACUAGCUAGGAUGUGCAUGGAGGAGGUGAUAGCCUAGCCGGAACAAAAAGCAUUAACACCACCUGAACUGAUGUAGUACAAUCAGAUGGGGUCUUUAUCAAGGUUGGCAACAUCGGGUGUUCACUACACAGAUUCCAAAAUUGUUCUGAGAUUGCGACGAUCUGAUUUGUUUUCAGAAAGUUUGAAUAUCGAGGUUUCUACCAUUUGAGUGUUAGGCGUUAUGGCAUCAAUUAAUGCCGUCACAUCAAGCUCUUUUGUAAGGCGGGCGCGCCAAAACGCUAAACUUAGAUGAGAAAACCUUCUUUUCUAAAAAAAUAAUGAUAACAGUUUCCACUCUCA